CAUUCACGGACCAUUCACUAUUCACCCAUCACUCACAAUUCCUCUUCACUCUCACCGAAAACCCUCCAAUCGUUCCAUCACCCCACGCUCACCUCCACCAGUCAAAACCCUUCAUCACCAUCAACCUUCCACCAACUGAAACGCACAAGCUCUUCGCGACGCUUUCGCCGGCGAAUCCGUUUCAAUCGUUUCCGUCACCGUCAAAACCUCACCCUCUUCAUCGCUUCCCACACAAAUCCUUCAAACCUCGCCGUCAAACCACAAGAAACCCCUUCCGUCGCGCUCUCACCGACAAACCCAUCCAAAACCCUUCAUCGCUCCGCCUUAACCCUCAAAACCCACACGAAGCUCAGCCGUUAACCCCCUCAACUCACCAAACGACAAACCCUUAUCACCGCCGGCAACCCGUGCUUCGCCUUCAACCGCGUAUCCUCCGCACCUCUUGUUCCAACUCUGUUCGGACAGCUGCGAGUUGGCAAGGCGUUUUAGAUUGUAAAACUGUUUGGUUUUAAUUCUUUUGUUUAUGCAGAUAAUGGUUUGGAAUGAAAGGCUAAAAAGCACCGGAUUCAUUUCACCAACUAUGGAGUUUCAAGUUUAACAAGCACUUCGAGACGUUGACGCCCUAUUUUUGCAUUCGGUAAUCUUUUUGAACUGAAAACAUUGAUUGCAAUCGGUUCAUGUUCUGAUGCUGUUUUGGUUAUUGAAUCAUGUGUAGAACUCAAAAAUUAAUGUCGGCAUUUUGAUUGCAUUACGCAUCGGCUUUACUGUAGAAGUUUAUUUCGAUUCCAUAUGUUUCAUGACAGAAUGUGUUUUGGAAUAAGUGUUGGAUUUAUGUCGACAUCGCGGUAAUCCUGUAAAAAAAUUAAGUUGUUCUUAUUAUGUUGGUAACUCUUACUGCUUUCUUUUUUCAGUAGAAACAUAUAAUGUGAUAGUACUACUUUCGGUAGUCUUUAAGUCAUUUUCAUUAUGUUGGAUACUUUGAAAAAAGCACAUAUUGCAGGAAGGCCUAUGUAUCUGUCAUGAAUGGACGAUUGGCAUAUCAAUUUUAGAGUUGUGAAUGACUUGGUUUUAGAAAUGCUUCUUCUUGGUUUAGUUACUGGAUUUUCACGUUUUUCUUCUAGUCAUUAUUAAUUUACCUUUAUUUCAGUAUAAGGUUUUCAUUGUUUUGGAUAGGUCUUGAGAAUCAUAUUUGAUAUGUUUGGUCUUUAGAAUUGUCCAUUUUUUUUAUUGAUUAAUUAAUGAUUACCUUAUGGUUUAAAUUUGUUAAUUACAUUUGAUUAUUUUAUUAAGGAUCAAUUUAACUUGUUGAUCAAUUAAUCUUGAUACUCCCUUCAAAUUA